rnacentral:tRNA from 1 species
UUAGCUCAGCUGAUAGAGCACAUGACUUUUAACCAUGUGGUCGUGUGUUCGAUUUUCACACA